UACGUAGGGGGCUAGCGUUGUCCGGAAUCAUUGGGCGUAAAGAGCGUGUAGGCGGCCUCGGUAAGUCCGCUGUGAAAGUCGGGGGCUCAACCCUCGAUGCCGGUGGAUACUGUCGGGCUAGAGUGCGGAAGAGGCGAGUGGAAUUCCUGGUGUAGCGUGAAAUGCGCAGAUAUCAGGAGGAACACCGAUGGCGAAGGCAGCUCGCUGGGACGGUACUGACGCUGAGGCGACGAAAGCGUGGGGAGCAAACAGG
rnacentral:rRNA from 1 species